GACAAACGCUGGCGGCGUGCUUAACACAUGCAAGUCGAACGGUCUACUUUAGGGUAGAUAGUGGCGGACGGGUGAGUAACACGUAGUUGACCUGCCUUUUGGUGGGGAAUAACUCCUCGAAAGAGGAGCUAAUACCGCAUGAUCUCUCUGUUGUUGGACAGAGAGGAAACCUUCUUCUUGUGAAAGCAAGAGGUAGGGCCGAAAGAGGGGACUGCGGCGGAUUAGCUAGAUGGNGGGGUAAAAGCCUACCAUGGCGACGAUCCGUAGCUGGUCUGAGAGGACGACCAGCCACACUGGGACUGAGACACGGCCCAGACUCCUACGGGAGCAGCAGUGAGGAAUAUUCCCCAAUGGGCGAAAGCCUGAGGGAGCGACGCCGCGUGAGGGAAGAAGCCCUUUGGGGGUGUAAACCUCGUUUUAGGGGGAUGACACGCUCUUUGUGAAAGCAGAGAGAUACGACACGUACCCCUCGAAUAAGCCUCGGCUAACUACGUGCCAGCAGCCGCGGUAAG
rnacentral:rRNA from 1 species